GCCAGUGUGGUAUAGUGGUUUCAGCGCUAGACUACAACUCUGGAGACCAGAGUUCAAUUCCCUGUUCAGUGA